rnacentral:lncRNA from 1 species
GGUAGUGUGGUAGAGUUCAGUGGUAGAGAUCAGUGGUAGUGUGGUAUAGUUUAGUGGUAGUGUGGUAGAGAUCAGUGGUAGUGUGGUAGAGUUCAGUGGUACUGAGUUAGAGUUCAGUGGUAGUGGGGUAGAGAUCAGUGGUAGUGUGGUAGAGUUCAGUGGUAGUGCGGUUGUUUUUAUUGGUACUGGGGUAGAGAUCAGUAGUAGUGGGGUAGAGUUCAGUGGUAGUGUGGUCGAGUUUGGUGGUAGUGGGGUAGAGGUCAGUGGUAGUGUGGUAGAGUUUAGUGAUCGUGUGGUGGU